CCCUUAGAUGUUCUGGGCCGCACGCGCGCUACACCGAUGCAUUCAACGAGCCUAUCCUUGACCGACAGGUCCGGGUAAUCUUUGAAUCUGCAUCGUGACGGGGAUAGAUUAUUGCAAUUAUUAAUCUUCAACGAGGAAUGCCUAGUAGGCGCAAGUCAUCAGCUUGCGUCGAUUACGUCCCUGCCCUUUGUACACACCGCCCGUCGCUCCUACCGAUUGGGUGUGCUGGUGAAAUGUUCGGAUCGGCCGUUUGUCGCGGUUUCCGCGGCUCGUGGCUGAGAAGUUCAUUAAACCCUCCCACCUAGAGGAAGGAGAAGUCGUAACA
rnacentral:rRNA from 1 species